rnacentral:rRNA from 1 species
GAAAACGACUGCUAAGACUGGAUAGGAAACAAAAAGGCAUCUUUUUGUUUUUAAAAGACCUUCUUCGGAGGGUAUGCUUAAAGAGGGGCUUGCGCCACAUUAGUUAGUUGGUAAGGUAAAGGCUUACCAAGAUUAUGAUGUGUAGCUGGACUGAGAGGUUGAACAGCCACAUUGGGACUGAGACACGGCCCAAACUCCUACGGGAGGCAGCAGUAGGGAAUUUUCGGCAAUGGAGGAAACUCUGACCGAGCGACGCCGCGUGAACGAUGAAGUAUUUCGGUAUGUAAAGUUCUUUUAUUGAAGAAGAAAAAAUAGUGGAAAAACUAUCUUGACGUUAUUCAAUGAAUAAGCCCCGGCUAACUAUGUGCCAGCAGCCGCGGUAAGACAUAGGGGGCGAGCGUUAUCCGGAAUUAUUGGGCGUAAAGGGUGCGUAGGCGGUUAGAUAAGUCUAUAAUUUAAUUUCAGUGCUUAACGCUGUCUUGUUAUAGAAACUAUCUUGACUAGAGUGAGAUAGAGGCAAGCGGAAUUCCAUGUGUAGCGGUAAAAUGUGUAAAUAUAUGGAGGAACACCAGAAGCGUAGGCGGCUUGCUGGGUCUUUACUGACGCUGAGGCACGAAAGCGUGGGGAGCAAACAGGAUUAGAUACCCUGGUAGUCCACGCUGUAAGCGAUGAGUACUAAGUGUCGGGGGUAACUCGGUACUGAAGUUAACACAUUAAGUACUCCGCCUGAGUAGUACGUACGCAAGUAUGAAACUUAAAGGAAUUGACGGGACUCCGCACAAGCGGUGGAUCAUGUUGUUUAAUUCGAAGAUACACGAAAAACCUUACCAGGUCUUGACAUACUCUGCAAAGCUAUAGAAAUAUAGUGGAGGUUAUCAGGGAUACAGGUGGUGCAUGGUUGUCGUCAGUUCGUGUCGUGAGAUGUUAGGUUAAGUCCUAAAACGAACGCAACCCCUGUCGCUAGUUGCCAGCACGUAAUGGUGGGGACUUUAGCGAGACUGCCAAUUAAAAAUUGGAGGAAGGUGGGGAUAACGUCAAAUCAUCAUGCCCCUUAUGAUCUGGGCUACAAACGUGAUACAAUGGCUAUUACAAAGAGUAGCUGAAACGCGAGUUUUUAGCCAAUCUCAAAAAGGUAGUCUCAGUACGGAUUGAAGUCUGCAACUCGACUUCAUGAAGCUGGAAUCGCUAGUAAUCGCGAAUCAGCAUGUCGCGGUGAAUACGUUCACGGGGUUUGUACACACCGCCCGUCA